AAGUGAACAAAUGAAUAGUGCAUUUGAUUCUCAGUCUUCUAGUGUAGUCAAGUGGUUUAGACUUAGAAUCAUUGUGAUGAUUGUUUUGAUGUAAAUGCUCCAAUGAACUAAACUUGCUCACU
rnacentral:tRNA from 1 species